GGAAAUACAUUGAAGAAGGAGAGUAGCAUAAUUAGACUUUACAGAGAGGGAAUAGUUUGGUGGAAUAUUCCUAUUGUUCGGUUAUGUGAAGUGCCCUUCGGAGUAGUGGACUGAAAUUAAGUAGGGAACACCGGGGUCGCCCGUUAUAGCGAUAGAGCAUAGCGUUACUUAGUAAUUUGUGCUCGAAGGAGUGAGAUUCUAUAUCUAAUUAGGGUGGAACCGCGGAGUAUUCAACUUCGUCUCUAAA
rnacentral:ncRNA from 1 species